rnacentral:misc_RNA from 1 species
GAAAUGCGAUAAGUAAUGUGAAUUGCAGAAUUCAGUGAAUCAUCGAAUCUUUGAACGCACAUUGCGCCCGCCAGCACUCUGGCGGGCAUGCCUGUUCGGGCGUCAUUUCAACCCUCAGAACCCCUUGCGGGAUCUGGCGUUGGGGAUUGGCAUCCAGCCAGCCCCGAAAUCUAGUGGCGGUCCCUCCGCGACCUCCCCUGUGCAGUAGCGAUACCUCGCAGCGGGACAGCGGUCUGACCGCCGUAAAACCCCCAACUUCUCAAGGUUGACCUCGAAUCAGGUAGGAAUACCCGCUGAACUUAAGC